rnacentral:rRNA from 1 species
CUAGCUGUAAACGAUGGAUACUAGGCGUUGAGAGUAUCGACCCCCUCAGUGUCGUAGCUAACGCGUUAAGUAUCCCACCUGGGGAGUACGCGCGCAAGCGUGAAACUCAAAGGAAUUGACGGGGGCCCGCACAAGCGGUGGAGUAUGUGGUUUAAUUCGAUGCAACGCGAAGAACCUUACCAGGGCUUGACAUGUCCGGAACCCUGCCCAAAGGCGGGGGUGCCUACGGGAACCGGAACACAGGUGGUGC